CGUCGUUAUUCUCAAGGUUGCUUCUAUGGAUAACAUAUAGAUAUCCAUUGCCUAGGCCUACUACUCAGCCAUUUAUGAAAUGACUACUGAAGAGAUAUCAUCACUGAUGACUAAGCUGAUUGGCUCUAGUGCAAGUGGGAGAUUGUUGGAAAUGUGCCCUAAAGCCAAUCAUAUGAUGAUACUUUACGGACAUUUUACAUGUUAAACUAAUCUAGUUUAACUAUAAAGGGCAAAGAUUAUUGUUUAAGCCGUCUCAUAUAAAUGUUAUAUGCUUAAACGAUAAAGUCCAAGGAAUAUGUGAUUGGGAGAAUGCAAU
rnacentral:lncRNA from 1 species